rnacentral:rRNA from 1 species
CCUACGGGGGGCAGCAGUGGGGAAUAUUGCACAAUGGGGGAAACCCUGAUGCAGCGACGCCGCGUGAGCGAAGAAGUAUUUCGGUAUGUAAAGCUCUAUCAGCAGGAAAGAAAAUGACGGUACCUGACUAAGAAGCUCCGGCUAAAUACGUGCCAGCAGCCGCGGUAAUACGUAUGGAGCAAGCGUUAUCCGGAUUUACUGGGUGUAAAGGGAGCGCAGGCGGUCUGGCAAGUCUGGUGUGAAAGGCCGGGGCUCAACCCCGGGACUGCAUUGGAAACUGUCAGACUAGAGUGUCGGAGAGGUAAGCGGAAUUCCUAGUGUAGCGGUGAAAUGCGUAGAUAUUAGGAGGAACACCAGUGGCGAAGGCGGCUUACUGGACGAUGACUGACGCUGAGGCUCGAAAGCGUGGGGAGCAAACAGGAUUAGAUACCCCAGUA